AUCAAAGGCAAACAGCAUAAGAGAAGUGACGUGUCUUGGGCGGGGGCAAGGGGAAGUGAAUAGAAGACGCUGAAAGUGGAGAAAAAAUGGCGGGCAAAGGGAAGAGAGAUGGAGAACGCAAGAAUUCAGCUUUAAGGCAAACUGUUUUCUGAACAACUCUACAGGAGAGCAUGGCCAACCUUUUCAGAAAAUGUGUAUGUCUUUUUUCUAUCAUCUGGCUAACUUCCCAUCAGGCUUUCAUAAACACUUGUGAACAUCAAAAAAAUAGGGGAUGCAAUUUGUAUGAAAAGACUGUGCAAGAAGGAGGCAGCUUAAAUGUGAGCCUGAGCAACUUUGGAAUCCUUCGUGAUGUCUGUUUUUGGAAUAGCUCAACGUCAAAAUGGGACAGCGCCUGCCAAUUUGUUGGAGAAAUCUGUGAGCCUCUCAUUCCGAAUUUCAACAUGCAUAUCUCUGUGGAAAAGGAAACUUUGGUCAUGUCGAAUAUGAAGGUAGAAAACAGCGGCUACUACAGGAUUCUGGACCUGGAUGGAGAUUGCUUGGGAAGAAAUGUCUCCGUGUUGGAUUCUUCAUCAAGGAACAGUGGGAGCCGCAAUUUUUCCAAUUGGGUAGUGAUUCUCAUUCCGCUUGUGAUUGCACUUGUGUUUUUGUGAACUUUUUUUGUGCUGCAUGUGAGCACAAAGACCUACAUGGAUUCAGCUUCCGGUUUUUUUUCCAGGAAGAAAGAAUAAAAGGGGGAAAUGGACUUACUGUAUAUAUCCAUGUAUAAGUCUAAAAGAAAUGGUCAAAAAUUAAUCCAAAAAAACUGGAUUGGCUUAUCCAGAGGCCAAUGUAAAUACUGUAUCUUUGCUCUUAUCAGAGAAGAAGCCAUCUCCUUCUCCUAGUACAUUGGAAAAAGAAAAGAGUCCGCCCCAAUUUUAUAAAUUAUGAUUUAUUGCAUAUUUGAUCCUGUGUUCUUUUUUUUCUGUGUCUGUUCAUUUUUAUAUACAAACAAUAUUUUUGCAAUGAAAAGGAAACCUGAAAGAAUCAUGUGCCUUUGUUUAAGGAUGUUUUGUUCUGAAUGUAAAACUCUAAUUGAGAGCUUCUUCCUACCUACUUUCCACAAAAUGGAGGUCAUUGUCAAAGGCUUUCAUGGCCAGAAUCACUGGGUUUCUGUGAGUUUUCCAGGCUGUAUGGCCAUGUUCCAGAAGCAUUCUCCCCUGACAUUUCGCCCACAUCUUUGGCAGGCAUCCUCAGAGGUUGAGGGGUCUGUUGGAAACUAGACAAGUGAGGUUGUAUAACUGGAAUGUCGAGGGUGGGAGAAAAAACUCUUGUCUGCUUGAGGCAAGUGUGAAUGUUGCAAAUGGCCACCUUGAUUAGCAUUUAAUGGCCUUCAAAGCCUGGCAGUUAAAAUGGUAUGAAACUGCAUUAAUUUUAGAAUGUAGAUGUACUGUUGGAAUCUGUAAGUACUUCAGUGUGACUUUAUAGUAAUCUUCUAGAGGAAGUUGGUCAUAGAGUUGCACUGGAUGGCUAGAGAUUCUCAAGGUAAAGGUAAAGGUUUCACCUUGAC